UGGAGUCGUUGUUGAAAUACCACUCUGAUCGGAUUGAGCAUCUAACCUUGGCCCAUGAUCUGGGUUGGGGACAGUGCCUGGUGGGUAGUUUAACUGGGGCGGUUGCCUCCCAAAAUGUAACGGAGGCGCCCAAAGGUUCCCUCAGCCUGGUUGGCAAUCAGGUGUUGAGUGUAAGUGCACAAGGGAGCUUGACUGUGAGACAGACAUGUCGAGCAGGGACGAAAGUCGGGACUAGUGAUCCGGCGGUACAUUGUGGAAUGGCCGUCGCUCAACGG
rnacentral:rRNA from 1 species